rnacentral:lncRNA from 1 species
CUCCGCUCCUGCUCCAGCAGCAAGAUAUGAUCCACCAGCAUGGAGGGUGUCCGAUAAGAUAAGUCUUAUAAAAUAUAUAGGUUUAUGAUAGUUAAGACUGAGUUAGCAGAUGAAAAGUCCUAGUUAUUGGCCAAGCAGCUUUAAACCUAAUACAAGUUUCUGUGUAUUCAUUUGGGCCUAACUCGGGCAGGCAGCUGGCAUAAAGCUCACACGUGGCGGUGGGGCUCAGGCGGUAUUUGGCAAAAAGAUUUAUCGUAACGUGGGGGUGGAAUUUUUUGAGGGGUCAGGGUUUUAUGUAGCUCAGACUGGCCUCAAACUCCCUAUGUAGAUGAGGCUGGCCCUACAUUCCCAAAUCAAAACUCUGAGCACUGGGAUUAUGGGUACACCCCACCACCCCUGAUUAGAGUACAUCAUGUCAUUGUUUCUCUUUUACUUCUCUUCCUCCUCUUCCUUCUCCUCUUCCCCCUCCUCCUCUUUCUCCUUCUUCUCCUCUUGUUGGUGACAGUAGGAGUUGAGAUAUGUCUCCAUAAAUCCCAGGAAUCAUUGGUGUAAGUUGUGGAAGCUUUUGAAGUCCUUAUGUUCCUGUCCUACCUCCUAAAUGCAAGAAUUCUUUGUAUGCUCAUGCCUGGCUCAGAUUUAUUCUUUCUGAAUGAACUGUGUCUUCUCAUGCCCUUAGACAUUGUUACUCCUGAUUUGGGGGCCCAUGGAUGCAGAAUGAGUCUUAUUCCAUUGGUAUCCCAAAUUCUCAGGUCUUCAGAAUCAGACAAAAGCAUACCAUGGCUAUUGUCCUGGGCUCCACUUGCAGCUGGCCAAGGAUUGGAUGUUUUUAGCUAAUUCUCACAUUAAUUCUCAGAUAUCUGUGCUAGACUUUUUGUCCUUGUGGUGAAAGACCUGACAUGCAUGGCUUCAGGGAGACUAACCUUUUUAAUUUGGAGGACUUACUUAUUUUGUCCCACAGUUGGCUUACUUAUUUUGUCCCAAUCUAUAGUUGUUGGCUCCACUGCCUCCAAGCCUGUGGUGAGGCAAUAUAUUAUGGUGGGAAGUACAUGUGACAGAAAGUACUUACCUCAUGGCAGUCAGAAAACAGUGAAAGGAAACACACAACGGGGGCAGGGCAAGAUAUAACAAGAUCACGGCCCUCUUCCUCCAACCAGACCCUAUCUUCUGUGGUUUUAACAUCUCUCACUUGUUCUGUUUACAUUAUAACUCUAUCUAUGGAUUAGUCAGAGCUCCUGUGAACACAUCACUUCCCAAGAUCCCAUCAGCUGGCAACCAAGAUGUCAGCACAUGAGCCCAUGAGGGAUAUUUCAUAUUCAAUCUGAUAUGUAAUCUAUUUCUCUGUUGGACCUGUUUCCUUGAAGUGCCUGAGUAAUGCAGAGAGUUAUUGAGUGAGUCAGACUGAGAAUUCCACAUCACUUAUUAAUGACACUGGCCAUGGUGUCAGAUUAGCAAACUUGCAGGCAGCAAGGGCAUCCAGGACUGGAACAGACAUAGCAUAAUUGAUAAACAUACCCACCACAGCAUUUGCUGGUUUUGUGACCAAGCUUCAGGCUUCUCAUCUACAAACCAUGUAAAGUAGUGUCUACCUUACUGGAUUGUUGAGGAGCUUAUUCUGCAAGACCCAAAAGGCACUUGGCUCUGUUCUUGGAUGAAUAUGAAAUCUAAACAAGUGACAACUAUUCCCCUGACAGAUUAGCCACAUUCCUGGCUUGCGACUCCUUGAGGGGAUAGCUAUGUUUUUGAGUUUGUCUCACUACAGCCAAGGCUAGCCUAUGGAACUCUUGGGUGUCCUGCCUCAGCUUCCCAAGUGCUAGGAUUAUAGGUUUAUUCUACCACAGUUGACUUAUAAAACACUUGAAAAAUAAGUUUCACAAAGAUCUCAAGUGAAUAUAAACUGCUAUAUCAGAGAGUUUUGGCAUUUGUGCAUAUACUUGAACCUGGAUACACUUGGAUGCACAUUUAUGUCUUCUUUAUCCAUUCAUUACUGUGUUGUUAUUUUACUAAUAUUUGUUGUUAUUAUUACUACUACAUUAUUAUUUUGUCUACUUGCUUUUGACAGUGUACAUACAUUGUCUUCAUAUUCUCUCCCUGAAGACAACAUAUACAGAGGGUCACACAGAGUGGGAAGUGUAAAUGACUUGUUAUGAUAAUGUUUGCCUUCAAAAAGUCCCAGGGCUCCAGAACUCACCAAACCCUAAGCCAAACCAGUUAACCAUCCAUUCAGGACCUACUAGGAGACUUUGCUCAAAUAUUAGCCUGGCUUUGUCUCCUAGAUCUGUAGUCUGGGGUCUCUGAGAAGACUCUAUCUUCUCUGUUUUCUCCUGGUGCCUCCUGUGAGGGUAAUUUCUCUACUACCACCACAUUAUUGGCAUUUGGACCAGACCAUUCUCUUUUGUGUUGACUGACCUUGUUAUAGGAUAUUUAGUGCCACACAGUCUUCCACCUACCCUCCAUCUGUAACAUCUGUAACACCCAUCUGUAACCUCCAUCUGUAACACCCCAAAAUGUUUCUAGGCAUAUCCUAGAGCUAAAUCAUCUCUGGAGUUAGAUCUCUGGUUUGGGAUUUUGCCAUCAAGGAUGCUAGGUGUAUUGAUCCCUUCCUACCUACAGCCCCAGAAUGGCCUUGGCUGUGCUUCAGCACCAUUCUAAAACCAUCACUUUCCCUGGGAGUUUAGUCACCAUAGAAAUGAACUGUAUUACUGAUCUCUAAAAUAGGGCACCACAACUGUGAACAGACAAAGCAGGCCACCUUUCCUCGGUGCAAUUGCAAGCGGAAUUAGAAAGUUCCACAGUCCUCUCCAGAGAGGAGCAGACAAUCAUCCAAAGGCAUGUUCAUCCAAAGGCAUGCCCACCACUCCCAGCUGGAGCCAGACCCCACCACUGGGAGUCAUGCUGCCAUACUCCAGGAUGAAUUCUGAGUGAGGUGAGACCAGAGAAUGAAGGCAACCAUCAAGAAAGAAGACGUUUUCCACUCAGUCAGAAGUGAAAAAUUAUCCAGAGGGCCAGGUUUUGUCUGCAGUCAGAGACAACAGGGCUGGACUUCACCGGGUACAGCCGGCAGGGCAUGUCACCCAGGCUCUUCUGCCUGCAGUAGGACACCUUUGAACUGGUGCUGCUGUGAGUAAAGCCUGCUGGCGCUGUCGUUGAAACUCACGUGUGCAAGAUUGCUCUAUCUUGAAAAGCAGAGCCUGGCUGAGGAGGUCAGGAGUGCUGUGCCCAAGGUACUGAGCCUUCCCCCAGCUGCUCCUGCUGAGGGCAGUCUCCAAAGGGCAUUGCUGAGCUUGGAGAUUUCAGGGCUAUAAACAGAAGCCACGGAUUACCUGAAAGCUGGUUGUGGAUGAAUACAUUCUUUGAACAGCCAUUGCACAAUUUCCCUACCUACAAAAGCCUGACUUAAGGAACAGUUGUCCUGGCCACACUCAGUGAACCUGAAUAUGAUGUAUUCAUCUUAGCCAUAGAAUCAAAUUUUCAAUGCUUUAUAUGGGAAGGUGUUUUAAUAUUUCCUGAUUUCUUUCUAGUUUGUGAAGGCUUUGAAAAAAAUCAAGAAGCCUUUUCCUGUUUUUUGUUAAACUCACUGAUUUACAAGAGAAAGUUUACUUUGUUUUUUAUUUAAUUAGUUUGAAUUGUUUUUAUUUUAUUAUUUCAUGUGUAUGGGUGGUCUGCCUGCCUACCCACAUGUCUGUAUGCUAUGUAUAUACCUGGUGUCUAGUGCCUGGCUUGGGAGAUGGUACAGAAGAAGAUGGUGGGUACCCUGGAAAUGGAGUUACUGUUAGUUGUCAAUUGCCACGUGAGUGCUGGAAACCCAGCUGAGGUCCUGUGAAAAAGCAGCCAGUGCUUUUAACUGCUAAGCCAUCUCUCUAGCCCCAUACUUUGGCCUUUUAGAUGAAAUGUCUAGCAAUAGUUUUAGACUGGCUUCAGUUCAUUGUACGAUCCCUAAGGUUCCAAUGGUUAAUUUUUUAGUGUAAAUAAUGUCAGCUUGAUGCCUGUGGUAGUUUUAAUGCAAUUGGCCCCUAUAAUCUCAUUAUAGGGAGUGGCACUAUUAGGAGGUGUGGCUUUGUUGGAGUAGGUGCAGCCUUGUUGGAGGAAGUGUUUUCCUUUAUAAGAGUUGCCAUGGUCCUGGUGUCCCUUCACGGCAAUAGAAACCCUAACUAAGACACUGCCUUGGAUGCCUAUGGCCAAAAUUGAAAGGAAUAGGACAGAAAGAGAACCCUGAGUGGCAGUAGGGGUAGCACAGGGGUUGGAACCUGGGGAAUGAGUACAGAAUGAGUACAAAGCAGCAUAGGUCAUAGAGAUGCUAGGGAUGGGGUAAGGGGUCAGAGAAGGGAGGGUGGGCAGGCACAUAGAAAGCGAGGCUGUGGCUAGGGGACAGAGAGGGCAGAGCAAGAGGCAAGAGUGAAGGAGUCGGGGAAGCAAGGGAGCAUAGUUUAGCAGUCAGAUUCUAACGAGCCAUCUUUGGGUGCCCACUUUCGUGCACAGUCCUCUACCACACUGAGCAGGGAUGGCCUGUGUAGCCAAGGAGACAGUGCUGUUUCCUCUUUGCACUCUUGGGUCACUUGUUCCAGAACAGUGGGAUGCCUUGUGGAGAAGUUCAAGCAUCCCUCAAGAAAGGCACUUGUGCUUUCAGAGCUUUGGCCUCUUGCCCACAGCCCUGGGGGCUUGCCUUCUGGGAAGCAGCUGCACUGGCUCAACUCUCCAACAUCCAGAAUCCUACAGGCAAAUCCUACAGGAGGAGCCAGGCCAGAACUGCCACCUCUGACCCACAGAUCCUCCUUGAGAUAAUAAAUGUGUAUCUUUAUGUUAAGCCCUCAAGUUUGGGGCUAUUUGGAUCUAUAAACACAGGGGAAACAUGGCUCAAAUGAGAACAGAGAGUCCACAUCCCUGCAAUUUCAGCUCUCCAGGCCUCUCCUGGGCCCUGCCAUGUGUCUUUGAUGAGCUGUGGCUGGAAGCCCCAUGAGCAAUACACAGUAAUGUGGUUUUUAUAAGUUGGAAAUUUUUGCCAAUUUGCUGAAUCAGUCAUUACAGAAAUAGAUCCUCCAUGACCUGACUUCUGGUAGACUGAUUUUCCAUGAAUAAUGUUAAGAGGCAAUACCUCAACUGAUUUUAUACCUGGAAAUCCUAGAACUGGGGUUUUAGAGAGCAUUUGGCUAAGCUAUGUUAAGGUAAGGCUGACAUAAAUGUCAGGGUAGCAGGUGACUGAGGGUGACUUCUCAGAGCCAUAUCAGGUGUCCCACAUCUCAUUGCAUUUAUCUAGGUCAUGGUAAAACAAAAAUAAUAGAUUUACCCUUUGAGAGGCGACAAGACUUACCCUUUCUUGAUUUCUGAUAAUCGAUUAUGUUUGGGAACACAUUGGGCUCUCUGGGAUGAUGAUUAAGAAUGUAAUUUGCAGGUAUAAUAAAAAGAGGAAUUGGAUUCAUAAAUAAAGUCUCUACAGAUGCUUAAUGCUACCUUCAAGAAAUUACAGGUAGAAUUCUCCUGCAAGUCCCAGAUGAUUGACAGCAGGCAAGCCAGCGGCAGCUGCCAGCAUUGUGAAGGGAUUGAAGAAGUCUACUUCACCCGCUGGAGACAAGCAAGGGCAAGACAGGGUUUCUCACACAUCACUGUCCCCCAAGGAUCAAGCCUGGGUAACACUGAUCUGUGGAACCCUCUCUGAGGAGAGGUUAUCAGCCAUUUUUAGGAGUGGAAAGAUGUUUUUAAGAAGGGCUGAAUAGCCGGGUGUUGUUGGCACAUGCCUUUAAUCCCAGCACUCGGGAGGCAGAGGCAGGUGGAUUUCUGUGAGCUCGAGGCCAGCCUGGUCUACAGCUCGAAUUCCAGGACAACCUCCAAAGCAAUACAGAGAAACCCUGUCUCAAAAAAGAAGAAGGGUUGGAGAGAUGGCUCAGAGGUUAAGAGCACUGGCUGCUCUUCCAGAGGCCCUGAGUUUAAUUCCCGGCAACCACAUAGUGGCUCACAACCAUCCGUUAUGACAUCUGGUGCCCUCUUCUGGUGUGCAGAUAUACAUGGAAGCAGAAUGUUGUAUACAUAAUAAAUAAAUAAAAUCGUUAAAAAAAAAGGAGGAGGGAGAGAAGAAGAAGAAGAAGAAGAAGAAGAAGAAGAAGAAGAAGAAGAAGAAGAGGA